rnacentral:lncRNA from 1 species
CGGAAGCCGCCGGGAAAAACCGACUUUCAUUAAGCACUGCCUGCUGGCGGCCCUCUGCCCCCCCGACACCCACCGAUCUUCCCUGACUCAGCGAACGGUUCAGCUGCGUAUAACUCCUUCAAAAGCAUUCUUCCCGUUAGGCAUUGAAUUUGCGAUAUAGAUUCAAGGAAGCCCGACUCCCGCCCGUCGCUCAUGAUACGCAUGUGUGGCCAUUGCGGGGGGUCAACACUCCAACACUGUGAACGUGAACCAUUAGUGACUUGGGCCACAUCGUGUCGGCGUCGUUUUCAAACUUUUUGUUUGCGCAGGGAAAACACUUUGCUCCGUGAUAUUUCCUUGUUGUCUCCAAGUUUGGAGGGGCGGGACGGGGGGUCCAUUGUCCCUCGACACACUCUUCACGACCCAGCCACCACUUCGUCGUAGGUUUUCUAGUCCCAUUUUUGUGCUCUUCAUCUCGACACAAAGAUGCAGCCUACAUGCACGCCGAUCAUGUCCCGAACGGAGCCGGGCGGGCGCAAGGCCACUGCGUCUCAGCAACGCUCGCAGCGCUCAAUUCGACCGCCGUUUCCCGCUCCCUUACACUCGACUCGUCUGCUUCUCCGGCGUGGCUCUAGCCGACUCGCCGCAGCUGUCUUCUUGGCGGCUCUUGCAUGUUUAUUUUUCCUCGACUUUAACCUUCGGGUGCCCACAGCCGUGGCAGCCGGCUCUGUCUUUCCGGAAGCAGAACCUCAUGAUAAUACAGAAGCGGUGUUUGCACUGGAUGACGACGCAAGGAGGGGGAGCGCCGACGAUCUAUCAGGACAAGAAUCGAGUGCGAGCACUUCUCAAGCCACCUCCCGACGGAGUACAGAUCCGACCUCCACGAAGCGCGUUUCAGCUGUCCAGCGUCGCGUAGGCGCUCGUCGAAUUUCAGUUCUUGGCACAGUUUUAGGUGGUGUACUUGCUGUCCUCUACUUCGCCAAGUUUUUCAAGCGGGGCAAAACAAGGAGUGAAGCUCCACAACCGGAAUCAGCCCGCUAGUACGCCGACAGCUGCUACCCUCGAUGGGAGAGUCGUGCUGCUGCUGUGUUGGGGGUCCGCGAAUUGACUCCCUCGUCGAGAAGUCCCGUCCUUGUGCUAGAAGCUGUCAAGAGAGGGUUUGCAGGUGAAGGAUACUUAGGAAUCUUGUGACUUGUGGCAAACGAUGGGAUGCCGCUUCGACAUCGGAGCACGCGAAUGAGACGGUGAUGCGAGCAACUCAUGAGACUGAUGAUCCUAGCUAGAUAUGCCACAAGCUAUUGCCGGGGAGCUCACUGCUUUGACAUCUGAAAGCGUUCCAUCAGGCAGGACUCUGAUGAGUGUGUCAGGGGGCUGAGAAGCGUAUGCAGCAACCCGAGCGAAUCUGUAACCGAACGGAGUUUUGUUUGAGUGUACAGCUGGCCCAUGGCCGGUAAAGGACAUGCAUCGCGAAGGCCAUAGCAACUUUCUCGAAACGAGCGUCAGGGAAGAUGACUACAGCCACAGCUGUUACUGUCUGCGAGCAGGGGGUAGACGCCUCCUGUUUGGCUGGCUCCUCCACUUCUGUUGCUGACCGAACAGACGGAAUUUUCAAUGGGACCAUUCGGACGAUACGAUGAGCCGAAGAUUCGUGGGUCUAUUCUGGGCAAACAACUAAGUGGCCUUGGCGACUGUCUCUGCAUUGAGUCGCCGAUCUUGAUUGCAAACGAAGAUGCUGUCAAGUUUUCCGGCGGUCUUUUCUGGUGACAGCCGGCUUCAGCCAUCUGGAAGAAGAGGCCCGUAUCCGGUCCUCGCAGUUCUUCCACACGGUCGGGCGACAACCAGGGCCUACGCGACGAAGUUGAAUUUUUUCAUGCAUUAUUUUCCAGGCCGUUCGCAGCAACUAGCGCUCGAAUGGCUGUGGCCUUGUAUGCAACAACUCGUUAGGUUGAGCGUUGGUUGGUAGUAGCCCUUCUCACUGAUCGAGAGAUACUGGCUUGUCUCAUUAUCCGCUGGAGAGCUGCACACCGUGUGCCCAUCCUCCCCACAGACUCUAACGAGUGGAAGUGACUCCCGGCUGCAUUGCCACUCGGAAACGCUUGACUCCCCAUUGCCGGAGGUGAAGAUAGAUAUGUCGUCGUUGCGGGCGAAAGGGGGAGCUAGCAUUUUUUUUGUAGCUUACUUUUCGUAGUGUACGGUACGUCCCCCCGGUUUUUGUCUCCAUCGUUUGCUUGAAGAGUCUCGGCCGCUGUCCUCUGUUGUGUGUCCCAUCAGGCAAUCAUAGAAAAGACAGCACAGUUGCUCGUGAGUACCUCGUCUGCUGGAGUCAGGAGUCGGGUGACCCUCCACUCGCUUGUAACGCAUGUUGCAGCGUUCCUGCUAGGUCAAACCGUCGUGGAUGCCAACGGUAGAUAGCCAGCUAAGAGUAACUUUCCAACAAUGGUUUCUCUCUCACAGGCUCCUGCUUAGAACACCGGAAGAGAACAGGCUCCUUGUACUGUCGAGAUACAGAUAGCUGUAGGCACGCGGCUUCACCCCUGCUGUAGCCGAUCGACAGUGUUGUGCAGCCUUGUCACGCUUUCUUUAGUACGGGCUGCUGGGAGCCCUCUGGAACGUUCUUCAAGCAGAGUCAACUUGGUGUGUUAUCUCUACCGUGGUUGUUAUCCGUUCCAUCCGCAGGAAGAGCCUGUAAGUCUCAUACACUUGCCUCGUGGGAUCUGUAGCCGACGGCAGAACCGUCUUUCGCAUGUCGUCACCCCUGGAAACUUUCCUCUGUAUUUUACGUAGAGAAAUCAUACCUGGCGGCAAGCAAGGCGGUGCUGAUGAUGCAUAUGUGACACAAUGUACCAUACUGCGGCCACGCUGACGGGAAGGAUGUAUGGCUGGCGUCCCCGACCGUGGGGUGUAUGCGACCGACGGGUCUUCGCUGCCGUCGCGUGGCCGCAGCGAGGUAAACGGUCUGGUCUGUUUGAGAGGGGCCACCGACUGUAUUGCUUACCGUGGGGGUCUGCCUAAUUGACAACGCUAGACUGGUCGUUGGAGUUAUUGUUCCUCUGUGCUCACGGGGCGGUGUUAAGCGUCAGGAAAAGUCUGUAGGUUGGUGGUACUGCUGAGCGGAGUGUCUCACCUCAAGACAUCUCAGGAGUGGGAGUUGUUUGCGUCUUCUUGCGUGGAACGACAAAAGAGAACGGCCAGCGACAAUGAGGUGGCUGCCGGUCUAGCAACGGCUGCCGCUGCUGUAACGCUCUACCUGAUUACAGUAAGAGUGGAAUGCGGAAAGAUUCAUCCCUGUUGGCUUCGACGGCCUGGAAGCCUAUGACCAAGGAAGGGCCUCGUCCUAGAGGCCAGUCGGCCAGGCGUUCAAGGGGUUGACACCUGCCACGGUCACUGUCUGUAGAAUCUGCAGAAUCAUCAGCCGAUCAGCUUUAAAGUGAGA